CUCAGCUCCAUCAGGUGCAGGGAGGCGCGGGGAUGCUGAGCGAGCUGCUAGCCUUGCUGGCCCCUAGGCGAUGGUGCUCCAUCUGUGUGUGAGCCGCGCUAGCUCCCCAGAAGAGGCCCGCCUAGACAAAUGAUAGGAAACGCCCCCUCUCCCGAUGCGGGAAGAGAAAUUACUCGCUAAAUCGCACCUGGCUUCGCAAAUCUUCGUCCACUGGGCUCAAGGUCAGCAGGAGGAGAGGAUGUUGGUCUAAUUAGCAGCAAAAGAAUCUACCAUCUCCUCAGCACCUGUCACUGCGGGCUCAACUCUGCCGCCUGGUGGCUGGGGACAGGAAAUGAAUGUUGGAGUGCCCCUGCAUUGCUUCUGUGUAUAGUCAUGUCAUAUUUAUAUGGACACUAGAGGGUGCUCAGGGCACACUCAUGCUCAUACUAUGCUUGAAGCCAUACAACAAACCUGGGUCUAAAGAAGGCCAGAGAUGACGUU
rnacentral:lncRNA from 1 species